UAUUCCUGUACUUGGUGUUACUGCGAAGGGGGGACGGAGAAGGCUAUGUUAGCCGGGCGACGGUUGUCCCGGUUUAAGCAUGUAGGCUGGUUAUCCAGGCAAAUCCGGAUAAUCAAGGCUGAGGUGUAAUGACGAGGCACUACGGUGCUGAAGUAACAAAUGCCCUGCUUCCAGGAAAAGCCUCUAAGCAUCAGGUAACAUCAAAUCGUACCCCAAACCGACACAGGUGGUCAGGUAGAGAAUACCAAGGCGCUU
rnacentral:rRNA from 1 species